rnacentral:pre_miRNA from 1 species
CGGGGGAGGCCGGCUCCUGGGCUGUGUCCCCGGCAGCCAGUGUUCCCAGGCCUGAGCUGUUGGAGUCGUGCUCCUAGCCGCCCAGCCCCUU